GGAUUCCUUCAGCGGCAGUGUUCCACGCGUGGCUGCCGGUGCUCUGACUCAACAGGAACAGGAAGGGGCUACAGCCAUGGCAACAAGCCUUUCAAGGGCCACCUCCUUCAACAAGACAAAUGUCGAGCUCUUCUUCAGUCGCCUGGGGGUGGCAAUAGAAAAGAGGCGCUUCGAUGGUUCAGACAUUUGGAACACGGACGAGACAGGCGUCACAACUGUGCAGGCACCAUCCCGAGAGGUAGCACGCCGGGGGGGCAGGCAGGUUGGAGCCAUGACGUCGGGUGAGGAGGCACGUUAGUAUCAGUCGCAUACGUGCCCAUAAGCUCCAGCUACUUGAUCGCAGUGUCUUUGGUACAUUUAAGAAAAUGGUGAAUGCGGCCCGUGAUGACUGGAUGCGGAUGAAUCCAGGCGAACCAAUGACAGUUUACAACAUUCCAGGGAUCGUGAGGAACGCCGGCCCUACCCACGGCCGCAACGCAAAUAAACAUUCAGCAGGCUUCCAGUGCACAGGCAUAUGGCCUUACCAUCCGAACAUCUUUCAGGACUGUGACUUUGCGCUUUCCCAGGUCACAGAUCGUCCUGACCCAGCUGAGGCUCUCCUGCCGCCAGGCUCCUCACCUGCUCACCUUCGCCAGGCUCCUCACCUGCUCACCUGCCGCCAGGCUCCUCACCUGCUCACCUGCCGCCAGGCUCUGCUCCUCCUCCAGAGAUGCCGAGCUCUGGGUCCAUCUUAGGACCUUUCAGUCAAACAGCUCACCUGCAAGCUCACCUGCUCCAGGCUCUGUUCCUCCUCCAGAGAUGCCGAGCUCUGGGUCCAUCGUAGGACCUUUCAGUCAAACAAUAAUUCGGCCAUUUCCGAAAGCAGGCCCAAGAAAAGAAACAGACAAGGGUAGGCGGAAGAUACUCCGAAAUCUUGACUGAUACACCAGUUAAGCUGGCAUUGGAAGAGGAGGACCGGCGAAAAGGAAAAAACAUCAAAUAUAAACUCUUUGGGGGUGAAAUAGGAAAGGAGAGGAAGGUCAACAAAACUGCAAACAAAAUGGUGAAAGCUCAGAACUCCUCGUCAGAGGAGGAAGAAGAUUUUUGUGUGUUCUGCAUGGAAACCUUUCGAAAUUCCAAAUCCAAAGAGGUGUGGGUAAAGUGUGUCCUAUGCAGCUAUUGGGCCCACCAGGUCUGCCCAAUUUUAUUUGUCACCAUUGUGAUUCAGAUUAAGGAUUUAUUUAAUUUGUUGUUACCAGAGAACAUGUUGCCCUGUUCUAAAAAAAAAAAAAAGUUCAGUUUCAGUAUUUUGUUUGGUGAAUCUAUUUUCAAACCCUGUUUAAAUACGGCAUAUCAAAUGGAGUAACAUUGUUUUUUUUGCAUUUUGUCUACCUUUUACAACCUACCCAAGUAGGUGUUACAACCUACCCUGGCAGUGGGGUAGGUUGUAACAAAGGUAUACAUUGUAUUUG
ensembl:lncRNA